CCACAACCUGUUAUCAAAACAUCGACUAGUACUAAAAAACAUAUAUGUGAGGGAGAAUUUAAUGUUGUGUACAUUAAUGACAAUGAUGAACGUGUUAAUGAGGAUGGCUGUAAUAUGACAGUGCACACUGAAGUGAAAAAUACAGACUCAAAUGAAGAUACAGACUCAAAUGAAGAAUUUAACAUGAAUGAUGAACGUAAUACGAAUGGUAUUGAAAAUGUUCGAGAUGUGACAAAUGAAGCAAAUACACAAGAUAGAUGCCAUAAUACUAGAUGCUG